rnacentral:lncRNA from 1 species
UUUGCAAAGCCUAGGCCUAAGGUUUUCAAUGCAGCAAAUUUUUUCUGAAGUGUUGAAUGCAUCUCUUCGCUACACUCUCUCCCACUCAACUUAGGAAAGCCCUUCAAACCCUAAGUCAAAAUAAAAAACCGCCGCUCACUGAAGAAGGUGCAAACGGAUCUCUUUUCCUGUUAUUUGAAGAAAAUGAAAACAGUCGUUGCCCUCUGAAGUCAAAGUUGCUGCUCUCCUCCGUAUCCGUCACUGGCUAUUGAAGAAACCCACUGCUCAUCGUUGCUUUGGUAAAAAAGGUAAAGACAAAAAUAGCUUGUUUGAUUUUGAAAAUUAAAUUCAUUACUCCUCAAUUUUCCUUGAUUAAUUGGGUUUUUCCAUUUAUUAAGCAUCUUUAAAAUCGAAAUUGAUCUCUCAAUGCCUUGGGUUUUGACCUAAUUAAAAUUGGGGUUUUUUAAAAUUGAAAUUGGAGGUUAAUUUGCCUCAUUUUGGAUGAUGAAUUUAUCACUUAAGAAUCAAUUGAUUGAGUUGAGAUAAAAAAUAUCCCAUCUUAUUGUGUGUUUUCUCUCUUUAAAGUUUAUAGCAAAUUCUUGUAAUUUUAGGUUCAAAUAUGCACAUGGUAAAAAAUUAAGUUAACUGAAUGUUCUAAUGGAUUUGUAUGAUCAGUUUUUGCACAAUAUAUAUUAGGUUCGAUUAGGCCAAUUACUCAAACUCCCGUAAGUGACUUCGCAUGACUCCAAGCUUCGGAAAUGGUUGGCUUUUAAUAUUAGCAUUAGUGGAACUUAAUAAAUGCUUAACUGAUAUUAAUGAAAGUAUUUUUUAGAUUUUAUAUUUGAAGUUUAGUUGUAUAUGAAUGUUGUGAGUAAUAGCUUUCAUGGAAUUUUAUUGAAUGUUGUGACAAGUAUAGAUUUUACUAAAUGUUGUGCGUAAUAACUUUCAUGGAAUUUUAUUUUUGCUUCUGAAUUUUAAGUAACUUUUAAUAUGCUAUUUUUGUUCUUAUUGUGUUGAACUGACUAUGGCAGAAGAAUUCAAGUUUCACAAGAUGUGGCUAGGCUCGCAGCUGUAUUAUUACUGUUGGUAAAUGCUUCUUGCAAGUGUAGUUUGCUUUAGUAUUGAAUUUUUUAUUGUGACAGUAUUAUCUUCUAGAGUAUGUUGGAUUAGAGAAAGGAAUCUAUAGGAGGUAAGAGCUAGCUACUACUAAUACUUCUAUCAAUUCUAUUAAAAUGCUAUUACUUCUGUUGCUCAUCGUAUGUUUGUUAAAUGCUUGAAUGAAAGUUAUCUGCAUUUCUUAAUAAAGAGGAAAAAGAAAAUAUAGAGUAGUGUUAUUUUGGAUUUAACUUACUGAUUUUUUGGAUGCCUAUAUAUAUUGUUACUUGAAACCAAAUUUUUGUUUUGCUACUUUGGAAUUUCUAAGUGCUUGUUAAUGGAUUUGUGUUUUCUUUAUUAAUCUGAACGUAUUCUAAAGCAGGUCUAUAGCUACAAGUUGAUUACUUAUUUCCAUAACCUGGGGGUUUUUAUUUGAUUAUAAUUCUUGAUCAUCUUUUAUUUAUUCAUUUUUCAAUGAAUGAUAAUAGGUUUUAUCGUUACAAGACUUAGAUCUUUGAAAUAUCAAAAUUUUAGCUAGCUUCAUUUUUUUAAUUUUUCUUUUUGAGCUUUCAAUUUUCUUGAAUCAGUUUAUUAAUGCAUAAUUUAUCAGGUUUGCUUAAUAGUUAUUGGCAAUAAUACUUUGGUUCUGGCACACAUGGUAGAUGGCUUUUCAUCCACUAUUCUAGCUCUAGAAUUUAUUCAUUUUAUUUGUUAACUCUUGAUUAUCUUCAAAUACAGAUCUUUUAUCAAUCAAUUUAUUAGAGACCACUAUUGUGGGGCUUGUGGGAUUGCUCUCAAAGAUGAUGGGGGUGAUGUUUUGAAGAGGCUUUAUUUCCAGCAGUAGCAGCCAAUGGGUUUGAAUUUUGUCCUUUAUAUUCGUUGUUAAGGACUGUUUAUCUAAACCAUACAUAUUUUGUUUAUGAAUUAUACCAAAUUACGAAAAUACUUUUGGUUCUUUCAUAUUAAUUUUAAAUUCACAUUCUUUUGUAGUGUUAAUGGUAAUUAAAAUAUAUAUUUCCUAUGAAAUUAAAA